rnacentral:rRNA from 1 species
UACGAAGGGGGCUAGCGUUGCUCGGAAUCACUGGGCGUAAAGGGUGCGUAGGCGGGGCUUUAAGUCAGGGGUGAAAUCCUGGAGCUCAACUCCAGAACUGCCUUUGAUACUGAGGAUCUUGAGUACGGGAGAGGUGAGUGGAACUGCGAGUGUAGAGGUGAAAUUCGUAGAUAUUCGCAAGAACACCAGUGGCGAAGGCGGCUCACUGGCCCGUAACUGACGCUGAGGCACGAAAGCGUGGGGAGCAAACAGG